rnacentral:rRNA from 1 species
CCUACGGGAGGCAGCAGUAGGGAAUGUUCGGCAAUGGGGGGAACCCUGACCGAGCAACGCCGCGUGAAGGAAGAAGUUAUUCGUAAUGUAAAGUUCUUUUAACAGGGAAGAAAGAGAAAUUUGACGGUACCUGAAGAAUAAGCUCCGGCUAACUACGUGCCAGCAGCCGCGGUAAUACGUAGGGAGCGAGCGUUAUCCGGAAUUAUUGGGCGAAAGGGGUGCGUAGAUGGCAUAGUAAGUCUUUUGUAAAAAUGCUGGGCUCAACCCAGUAGGGCAAAAGAUACUGAAAAGCUAGAGUAUGACAGAGGCAAGUGGAACUACAUGUGUAGCGGUAAAAUGCGUAAAUAUAUGUAAGAACACCAGUGGCGAAGGCGGCUUGCUGGGUCGAUACUGACAUUGAGGCACGAAAGCGUGGGGAGCAAACAGGAUUAGAUACCCUGGUAGUC